UACGGGGGGGGCAAGCGUUGUUCGGAAUUACUGGGCGUAAAGGGCUCGUAGGCGGCCAACUAAGUCAGACGUGAAAUCCCUCAGCUUAACUGGGGAACUGCGUCUGAUACUGGAUGGCUUGGAUUUGGGAGAGGGAUGCGGAAUUCCAGGUGUAGCGGUGAAAUGCGUAGAUAUCUGGAGGAACACCGGUGGCGAAGGCGGCCUCCUGGACCAAUAUUGACGCUGAGGAGCGAAAGCUAGGGGAGCAAACGGG
rnacentral:rRNA from 1 species